GGUGUCGGGGGGCCGGCGGCGUCGGUGAUCGGGAGGGUGUGGGGGGUUUCGGUAAUUAUGGGGCGUAAAGAGCGUGUAGAUGGUUUGUCGCAGCGGCAGCGAAAAGCCGGGGCUCAACCCCGGACUUGCAGUGGGUACGGGCGGACUAGAGUAUGGUAGGGGAGACUGGAAGUCCUGGUGUAGCGGUGAAAUGCGCAGAUAUCAGGAGGAACACCGAUGGCGAAGGCAGGUCUCUGGGCCACUACUGACGCUGAGAAGCGAAAGCAUGGGGAGCGAACAGGAUUAGAUACCCUGGUAGUC
rnacentral:rRNA from 1 species